GCUUACGCCCAUACCACCCUGAACACAUCCGAUCUCGGAAGCCAAGCAGGGUCGGGCCUGGUUAGUACUUGGAUGGGAGACCGCCUGGGAAUACCAGGGGCUGUAAGUC
rnacentral:rRNA from 1 species